UCAGCAUGACCAGCCUAGAAUCCAGCUCGUCACCCAGGGGCUUCCUGGUGAACACUGGGUGUCUAGGGGAGACAGAAGGAGCAAGAGGAAUCAUGGUCCCUAUCUUUGUGGGGAUGCAAGAAGAACUGAGGGCAUCAGAUGAGGAAAUGGAGGCCUAGGAAGAGCCAAGUUACUUACCGUAAUCAUAUUAAUUCACACUGGAGGUACUAAUGGCUGAUAACAGUUCAAGAGUCUCCUUUGUAUUUGAAUUUAGCCGAGGGAUUCUGGAAGCUCCCAAAUCCUUCCAAAAGGAAUCUCUAAAGGGUAGUCAGCUCUCAAAUAUCUCCACAUGGAUCACAGCAUCAUAGAUUCAGAGUUGGACUUUAGGAUCAACUAGUCUAACCUCCUCCUUUAACAGCUGGAAACUUGGUCGGAAGAGGGAGUGGAUACCUCCGGAAGCUACAAAAUCAAGAAGGAACUUGAGCCAAGAAAGCAGGCAUUGAACCCCAAAACUUCUCAGCUGAGAUAGUGUCUUCCAUGCCUCUUAGUUCUACAUUCUGGGUCCAUACAGACCAAGUCUUCCACCUAACAGCUUUUCAAAUACUUGAAGACAGCUAUCAUGUUCCCCCAAGUCUAUUCUUCUCGAGGCUACACACCACAAGUUCCUUUGGCCAGUCCUCAUAAGCAUGAACUUUUGUCAUUCUGGUUACCCUGCUCUCAG